AACGCCGAGCGCGGCCGAAGCCGAGUCAACGGCCGACAGCCCACUGCCCCAGAAGCAGGAGAAGGGUAAAAAAAGGGAAAGAGAAGGAAACACCUCUCCUCUCCCUCCGUCCUUCGCCCCUCUUCCAAAUCCCAGCCAGCCCCCACCCUCUCUCGCCUCGCUCCCCCAGCCCCACCCAGCCUCCGAUCUCAUCUCACCGCGCCGAGCUCAUGUGACAGUCCCGCUCGCUACCCAGGCUCGUCACUCCCCACCCGACGCUGCAAUUCCAAUCGGAGCUCGGGUUGGGGUUGGGAGGGAUAUGGGGCAGGAGGGGAUGGGGUACAACAACAGCAAGGGCGGCGGCGGGGGAGGUGGCCUGCCGAUGACGGCGGCGCGGGCGCGUGGAGCGUCGCCGCUCAGUAGCCAGCACCGGUCGCGGAAGAUCAGCCGCACCUUCAACAACGUCAAGAUCACCGUCAUCUGCGGCCUCGUCACCAUCCUCGUCCUCCGGGGUACCAUCGGCAUCAACCUCUCCCUCCCGUCCCACCCCUCCGACGCCGACGCCCUCGCAGGCGCCAAGGCCGUCGAGGACAUCGACCGUAUCCUCCGCGAGAUCCGCUCCGACUCCGACCCCUCCGACCCUGCCGACGCCGACCUCGACGCCGCCGGCCUCCGCUUCAACGCCAGCGCGCUCAGCGCUUCGGAGGUUGCGGCAGCCUACGCCGCCGCGGUCGGGAACUACGCGCUCGGCCCCAAGAUCUCCGGCUGGGACCAGCAGCGCCGACAAUGGCUCGCGAAGAACCCUGGUUUCCCGACCACUGUCCCCGGCGGCAAAUCCAGGAUCCUGCUCGUCACGGGGUCACAGCCCGGCCCUUGCGACAACCCGCUUGGCGACCACUACCUGCUCAAGACCACCAAGAACAAGAUAGAUUACUGUCGACUCCACGGCAUUGAGAUCGUCCACAACCUUGCGCACCUGGACAAGGAGCUCGCCGGUUACUGGGCCAAGCUGCCGCUGCUCCGCAAACUUAUGCUCUCCCACCCGGAGGUUGAGUGGAUCUGGUGGAUGGACAGUGACGCGCUAUUCACAGACAUGGCGUUCGAGCUUCCCCUCUCACGCUAUGAAAACCAUAACCUCAUCAUCCACGGGUAUCAGGAUUUGCUCUUCGAGAAGCACUCAUGGAUAGCGCUCAACACCGGCAGCUUCCUCUUCCGGAACUGCCAGUGGUCGCUCGACCUUCUUGACACGUGGGCGCCCAUGGGGCCCAAGGGUUUCAUCCGUGAGGAGGCCGGGAAGAUACUCACUGCGAACCUGAAGGGCCGUCCAGCAUUUGAGGCCGAUGAUCAGUCUGCGCUGAUAUAUCUCUUGCUGUCGCAGAAGGACAAGUGGAUGGACAAGGUAUUCAUAGAGAAUUCAUACUACUUGCAUGGUUUCUGGGCUGGAUUGGUGGACAAGUAUGAGGACAUGAUGGAGAACCACCACCCAGGGCUUGGGGAUGAGCGGUGGCCGUUUGUGACACACUUUGUUGGGUGUAAGCCAUGUGGAAGCUAUGGGGAUUACCCAGUAGAGCGAUGCCUCAAGAGUAUGGAGCGAGCAUUUAAUUUUGCCGAUAACCAGGUGCUGAGACUCUAUGGAUUCGGGCACAAGGGGCUCGAAAGCCCCAAGAUCAAGAGGAUCAGAAGUCCGACCACCAAGCCGAUUAAUGACAAGGAGAACCUUGAUGUGAAGGCAAAGAUGUUGACCACUUCUUGAAGCUACCGAUGAGAGUUAGUGGUUGUACUGGUCAGUGUCUAACUAGAUGAUGUUUGACAAUAUUCAAGGAUAAUGGGUAUUUCAUUGGCACUCGAUUCCCUCGCAGCUUUUGUCUGGUCCAAAUGUUCAGCUCGAGAUUGUGGAGUUGUCAUUAAUUACUGUCCGGUAAGAUUCAGUGCAAUAGUUUUCAAGAGAGUAUUUGAAUCAUGCCACUGUGAAGCUAGUAUUUGAGCAAAAUGCUGCAGAAGCUGAGAAUGAUAUGUGGCUCCAGGUCUCACAUGCCAUCGAAAUAUCCAGCUGCAUUUCUCAAAACAGCCAACUUUGUGGUGAUAUUGUUCAAAUUACCUUAGUUUCUAUGCUUAUAAGGAAUCAUGAGCAUGCCAACUUUUGCAGAUUUUGACUUUUUGUUCAUAGUCCAUUUGAACUGCAUAACGCCACAGUAAUACUCUCACAUUGCUUGUUGAGUUUGAUGCUUCACACAUUUGCUCACUUUGGUGGAGAUUGACUGUAUGUGAUAUCGUUGGCUUGCUUCACAAGUCUGGUUGAAAUGAUAGUUCUCUUCUCUUGCAUCCUGGCAGUGCUAUAUGCAGACAACUAAAGUAGUGUGGUUCUGCAAUAUUGUUGCUCCUUUAGUAGGUGGAAGUUUUCUCCAGAACUGCGUCCUGACAAAUACUAAAACUUGGUACAUUCCAAACUUGCCAUUCAACUUUUGCAGCCCCUUGCAUAUCUUACUGGAUCAAGCCUGGUACCCGUUUCUGCACUGAUAGUAGAUUGGAUGGAUCAAGAAGCUGAUUUGAUCAUGUGACAAAAAGCAAGUCAACGGUAUAAGAUCUGACUAAUGAAUUAAUUAGUUAAUUGUAGAUCUGUAUCGCAUCUAUUUCUAGCUCCAGAUUUAAAUGUAUGAUUUGUUUAUCUGACUUAUUAUACUGCUGCUGGAUCCUCAACGUGAUGGAGAUUCUAGACAUGGAUCUUAGCGGAGUUAGGCAACGGUCUGUGAUCUGACCAUGUGAUGUGAUGUCAAAUAAUCUCUUUUCCCUUCUUGGAAGCA